CGGCCCCUCGAGGAGGGUUGCCGGGAUUGGCCGGAACCAGGUGACUGGAUCCUUUCACCCGCUGAGGUGACUGUGGCCCCCGGAGCCCCCCUCGAGGGGCCG
rnacentral:sRNA from 21 species